CCUACGGGAGGCAGCAGUGGGGAAUAUUGGACAAUGGGCGAAAGCCUGAUCCAGCAAUGCCGCGUGAGUGAUGAAGGCCUUAGGGUUGUAAAGCUCUUUUACCAGGGAUGAUAAUGACAGUACCUGGAGAAUAAGCUCUGGCUAACUCCGUGUCAGCAGCCGCGGUAAUACGGAGGGAGCUAGCGUUGUUCGGAAUUACUGGGCGUAAAGCGUACGUAGGCGGUUAUUCAAGUCAGAGGUGAAAGCCUGGAGCUCAACUCCAGAACUGCCUUUGAAACUAGAUAGCUAGAAUCUUGGAGAGGUGAGUGGAAUUCCGAGUGUAGAGGUGAAAUUCGUAGAUAUUCGGAAGAACACCAGUGGCGAAGGCGACUCACUGGACAAGUAUUGACGCUGAGGUACGAAAGCGUGGGGAGCAAACAGGAUUAGAUACCCUGGUAGUCCACGCCGUAAACGAUGAUAACUAGCUGUUCGGGCUCUACGAGCUUGAGUGGCGCAGCUAACGCAUUAAGUUAUCCGCCUGGGGAGUACGGUCGCAAGAUUAAAAACUCAAAAGUAUAAGUUAGGACGUGNGAGACGCGACGACGACGACGACGGAGGGAGGAGG
rnacentral:rRNA from 1 species